GACGCAGCGAGGGCGCUAUGGCUGGCGGCCUCGCCUCCUGGAAAGGCCAUGGUCGCUGAGGCGACGAGCGAGGGCGGGGCAGCGCCGACGGGGACACUCAUCCCGGGAGCCAGAGCCAGCACCGAGAGGGGACGGUCUACGCGGGUGCCGGCGGUUCCAGGACUGCGAAACCACGAGCCGAGUUUCGGUCGCCCAUGGGAAAGCACCCGGCAGGGCGUGGCUUCGGGGCGGGGCGGGCAGAGGGCGGAGCAGGAUGGAGAGGCGAGGUGGGCGGAGCAGAGGGCGUGGCUUCGGGGCAGAGUGGGCCGGGUACCGCGCUUGGUCUUAGCGCAUGCGCACUCCCGGCAGCUACGCGACCUGUGACCAUGGUGGCUGUGCUGGGCGGCCGGGGCGUGUUGCGCCUGCGGCUGCUUCUCUCAGCGCUGAAGCCCGGGAUCCACGUCCCACGGGCCGGACCCGCGGCCGCGUUCGGAAAUCAGCCUGAGCCUGAGUACCGCUAAGGCUUUAAUCACGGGUCCCGAGAGCCCUAAGUCUUCUCUUUGCUUGCUGAUCUCGUACCUUAAUGUGCAAAAGAAUCACGUUGGGAACUGAAAAUUCAGAAUCCUGGGCCUCACUCCCAGAGGAUCUGAUCUACAUGUGUGGAGAUGCCCAGGAAUCUGCUUUAUUCUCUUUUGUCCUCCCACCUGUCCCCCCAUUUCAGCACCUCGGUAACCUCUGCCAAAGUGGCUGUGAAUGGCGUUCAGCUGCAUUACCAGCAGACUGGAGAGGGAGAUCACGCAGUCCUGCUACUUCCUGGGAUGUUAGGAAGUGGAGAGACUGAUUUUGGACCUCAGCUCAAGAACCUCAAUAAGAAGCUCUUCACGGUGGUCGCCUGGGAUCCUCGAGGCUAUGGACAUUCCAGGCCCCCAGAUCGCGAUUUCCCAGCAGACUUUUUUGAAAGGGAUGCAAAAGAUGCUGUUGAUUUGAUGAAGGCGCUGAAGUUUAAGAAGGUUUCUCUGCUGGGGUGGAGUGAUGGGGGCAUAACCGCACUCAUUGCUGCUGCAAAAUAUCCAUCUUACAUCCACAAGAUGGUGAUCUGGGGCGCCAACGCCUACGUCACUGACGAAGACAGCAUGAUAUAUGAGGGCAUCCGAGAUGUUUCCAAAUGGAGUGAGAGAACAAGAAAGCCUCUAGAAGCCCUCUAUGGAUGGAGUCUCACUCUGUCACCAGGCUGGAAUGCAAUGGCAUGAUCUCAGCUCACUGCAAUCUCUGUCUCCUGGGUUCAAGCGAUUGCUCUGCCUCAGCCUCCCAAGUAGCUGGGACCACAGGCGUGCACCACCACACAGGUAACAUCUGCCGGCACCUGCUGCCCCGGGUCCAGUGCCCCGCCUUGAUUGUGCACGGUGAGAAGGAUCCUCUGGUCCCACGGUUUCAUGCCGACUUCAUUCAUAAGCACGUGAAAGGCUCACGGCUGCAUUUGAUGCCAGAAGGCAAACACAACCUGCAUUUGCGUUUUGCAGAUGAAUUCAACAAGUUAGCAGAAGACUUCCUACAAUGAGAAUGCACACUCCAGUCUUGGUGGUUCCUUCGUGUGGGGCUUGAUCGUGUUGCUGCCUGUUAACAUGAUGCCUUUGAAACUCUCCGCCUUUGAAACUUUCUACCCCUCCCUUCAAUCUUAUCCUAACCAAAUGAGAAUAAUGACAUAUUGAAAACAGCCUCUAGCUUCAGGCUGGGCACGGUGGCUCACAGCUAUAAUCUCAGCACUUUGGGAGGCUGAGGUGGGAGAAUUGCCUGAGCCCAGGAGUUCAAGACCAGCUUGUGCAAUAUAGGGAGACUCCGGCUCUACAAAAAAGAGUUUUUCAAAAUUAGCCAGGCGAAGUGGCACACAUCUGUGGUCCCAGGUGCUCAGGAAGCUGAGGUGGGAGGAUCACUUGAGCCCAAUUCAAAGCUGCAGUGAGCUGUAAUUGCAUCACUGCACUCCAACCUGGGCAACAGAGUAAGACCUUGUCUUAAAAAAAAAUAAAAACAUAAAAAAAAAUAAAAAAGGAAUAAAGCCUCUAACUUCAAUAGCUAUGAAAAUUAAAUCCGAUUUUCUAAGAUGAAGUUGUGACAAGUUAUACCAUUGUCUUAACAGGUGAAUUCCUGCCAUAAUUUAUUUUCAAAUAAAUUUUAGGUGGAGAA